rnacentral:rRNA from 1 species
UCGAAUGGGAAGAUUCAGCGUCAGCGGUGUCGUCAGUGGCGGAUCGUGCGUUAUCUCGGACUUCGGUCCUGGGACGGCGUAUUCUUUCCAUGCCCUGUUCGGCGUCGUCGUCGUGCACUUCUCCCCUAGUAGAACGUCGCGACCCGUUGGGUGUCGGUCUACGGCCCGAGUGGUAGACUGUCGCGUAGCUUCGGCUCACGCGUCAGACCCUCGGUCGCUCGGCCGGCUGCCCGGCGGUCGAACGUAUAAGGUAUCUUGUCGCAAUUAUUUGAACUGCGUCGGGCCUGUCGCAAGCGCGGCCAGUGUAUAUAUCUCGGAGGUACGGACCCGGUGCCGUCCCCGAGCCUGGCCAGCUGUUGGCAGACAGAGUCCUUUGACGGGCAUUACACAAAAUGAUACCGGUCUGCGACGCUACUGCUUUGGGUACU